UACGGGGGGGGCAAGCGUUGUUCGGAAUUACUGGGCGUAAAGGGCGCGUAGGCGGCCUUCUAAGUCGGACGUGAAAUCCCUCGGCUUAACCGAGGAACUGCGUCUGAUACUGAAAGGCUUGAAUCCGGGAGAGGGAUGUGGAAUUCCAGGUGUAGCGGUGAAAUGCGUAGAUAUCUGGAGGAACACCGGUGGCGAAGGCGGCAUCCUGGACCGGCAUUGACGCUGAGGCGCGAAAGCUAGGGGAGCAAACGGG
rnacentral:rRNA from 1 species